UAAAUUGAAUAUGCUGCUGGAUGUUGUGUUGGUCUGUUGUAAAUGCAGGUUGUUCAUGAUGGUGGUCGUGAGGCCCAUACAAGUCUGCAGCAGGUCAUGGUGGUAUGGAUGAGCAAACAUGGCUAAGUAAAGGGUUGGACCUGGAACGGCAUAACAGUGGAAUUUUUGAAGUCACAAAAGUCAAACCAAGGAUCAAAAUAGGGCUGAGACAUAGGGUUAGGAUCAGAGAUUAUGGACUUAGGAUUUUUUGGGAUGGGGUUGACUUUGGUCAAAGUUGACCAAAAAGUCAACCGUUGACCAAAGUCAACCUUGGUCAACACCUCACAUUUUGUGUUUAUUUUGUUCUUCUUUUUUUUUGUAAUGAAUAUUUUAUCCUUUGUAAUGGAAAUUGAUAUUCAUGAAUGGAGUGAGCUUGGAUA